rnacentral:rRNA from 1 species
UACGAAGGGGGCUAGCGUUGUUCGGAAUUACUGGGCGUAAAGCGCGCGCAGGCGGCUAUCCAAGUCAGUGGUGAAAGCCCGGAGCUCAACUCCGGAACUGCCAUUGAAACUGUUUAGCUUGAGGCCGGGAGGGGGUAGCGGAAUUCCCAGUGUAGCGGUGAAAUGCGUAGAUAUUGGGAAGAACACCGGUGGCGAAGGCGGCUCACUGGCUCGUAACUGACGCUCAGGCGCGACAGCGUGGGGAUCAAACAGG